AGGCCUAGCCAGCCCUUGAAGCGGGUGUUUUUCAAACUUGCAAAAGGCUCAGCUUCGCGAUAAGAUCCACAGCACAUCCUGCGGUGGAUAGAACAUCUUCCCUACAGCCGGUGUUGCCUUUGGACCCAGCCUGCCCAGAUACCAGAAAGAAGAAGUCAGUCAGAACUUCAAUCUUCCAUGACCCCAG